rnacentral:rRNA from 1 species
AGCUCCAAUAGCGUAUAUUAAAGUUGUUGCAGUUAAAAAGCUCGUAGUUGGAUUUCGGAGUGGGCCCGUUGGUCCGCCGCAAGGUGUGUUACUGACUGGUCUGCUCUUCUUCGCAAAGACUGCGUGUGCUCUUUGUUGAGUGUGCGUAGGAUUUACGACGUUUACUUUGAAAAAAUUAGAGUGUUCAAAGCAGGCUAUUGCUUGAAUACAUGAGCAUGGAAUAAUGGAAUAGGACUUUGGUCCCAUUUUGUUGGUUUCUAGGACCGAAGUAAUGAUUAAGAGGGACAAUUGGGGGCAUCCGUAUUUCGUUGUCAGAGGUGAAAUUCUUGGAUUUACGAAAGACGAACAACUGCGAAAGCACUUGCCAAGAGUGUUUUCA